rnacentral:rRNA from 1 species
AACGAACGCUGGCGGCAGGCUUAACACAUGCAAGUCGAACGCCCCGCAAGGGGAGUGGCAGACGGGUGAGUAACACGUGGGAACGUACCCUUUUCUACGGAAUAACCCAGGGAAACUUGGACUAAUACCGUAUGUGCCCUUCGGGGGAAAGAUUUAUCGGAAAAGGAUCGGCCCGCGUUGGAUUAGCUAGUUGGUGGGGUAAAGGCCUACCAAGGCGACGAUCCAUAGCUGGUCUGAGAGGAUGAUCAGCCACAUUGGGACUGAGACACAGCCCAAACUCCUACGGGAGGCAGCAGUGGGGAAUAUUGGACAAUGGGCGCAAGCCUGAUCCAGCCAUGCCGCGUGAGUGAUGAAGGCCUUAGGGUUGUAAAGCUCUUUCACCGGAGAAGAUAAUGACGGUAUCCGGAGAAGAAGCCCCGGCUAACUUCGUGCCAGCCGCCGCAGUAAAAC